rnacentral:rRNA from 1 species
UACGUAGGGUGCGAGCGUUUAAUCGGAAUUACUGGGCGUAAAGCGUGCGCAGGCGGCGCGUUAAGACAGGUGUGAAAGCCCCGAGCUUAACUUGGGAAUUGCGCUUGUGACUGGCGUGCUGGAGUGUGGCAGAGGGAGGUGGAAUUCCACGUGUAGCAGUGAAAUGCGUAGAGAUGUGGAGGAACACCGGAUGGCGAAGGCAGCCUCCUGGGGCCAGCACUGACGGCUGAGGAGCGAAAGCGUGGGGAGCGAACAGG